UCAUUUGAGAGAGGGAAAGAAAGCAUGAGAGGGGAAAAGGUCAGAGGGAGAAGCAGACUCCCCGCUGAGGAGAGAGCUUGACGUGGGGGCUCAAUCCUGGGACUCUGGGAUUAUGAUUUUAGCCAAAGACAGACACUUAACCCACUGAGCCACUCAGGUGCCCUUCUUUAUAGAAUUUUUUGAAAAAUUGAAAUACAAAAAGAAAAAUAUAUUCAUAGUUCCAUAAAACAGAAAUCAACACUGCUAACGUGGGUGUAUUUACCUCCAAUUUUCCCCCACAUACAUUUGCAUAUAUGUUCGAAUGCCUAAACAUCUAGUCACAUAGCAUAUUAUUAAUCCUUUCAAAUUUGUUUUAAUCACAUGAAUAACAGGUUAUGUUUUCAUACAAAACACAAUAAAAACAAAAUCGCUCUUGACCAAAAGCAUGAUCACUUCGCUAUAUUCAAGUCUGUUUAUAUUUUAGAAUGCAUCCUGUUGCUAAAUCUGUUUAUACAAGGUAUGGAAAUAAAUAUUCUUCAUUUUAAUAAUUCAAAGUUACGCUCAAAUUCUGUCUCAUUUGUAAAUGUAGAACACCCAGUCAACUAGUGAUACAUCAUCCAUUUUGUUGGAGUUACAAGUGAGAUGCCCCAGGCUAUUUGUCAGAUUUGAAGUUUGUUAUUACCCAGAAAGCAGGCAACCCUGGUCACUUGCCACUCUACUAUCCUUAUUUAGAGCAACUCUACACACCGGAGAAAAGUAAUUGAUUGGGACAAUUAUCUAGCCAGCCUUCACACCUGCGCCCUCAUAGCAGUCAACCAACCUACUGAACAACAAAUAAAGAACAAACACACUUUUCUCCUGAAAAUAAAAACCAUUGUUUCUUAAGUAUCUUAAUAAUGGUAACAAAACCAAUUCUACCUGAAUGAGAUGGACAAUUUCACACAAAGGAAGGUAUAAAGAAUUGCUUUAGCCUCAAGUACCUGGUUACUUAAAACAAAGCACUUAUUUUUGGUUUGUGUGUUCUUUUCUUCUUUUCUGGUGUAAAGUGAGGCAAAAUAGCCUUAUUUUGCCAUUUAACUUUCAUUAUCUUUACCAUCAGGAAUAGAAUAUCUGACUCUAUUUCUUGAGUCAAUGUGAAAACUGUCCUCCUUUUUAACUCAUCACACAAACACCACCAAGACAAGCCCCAUGAUCCAUGUUUCUCUUUGAUCCAUGAAUUAUUCUUUUUUAAUUUUUAAAAUAUUUUUAAAAGACUUUAUUUAUUCAUUCAUGAGAGACACAGAAAAAGAGGCAGAGACAUAGGCAGAGGGAGAAGUGGGCUCCUCGCAGGGAGCCCAAUGUGGGACUCAUCCCAGAACCUGAGCCAAAGACAGAUGCUCGACCACUGAGCCACCCAGGCAUCCCUAUUUUUUUUUUUUUUGAAGAGCACCUCCCCAAGUUAUGUUAUUGUUAUUAAGAAAUGCAUUGAAGGAAAGUUUCAGAACUUAAUUUCCUCAGACCUAUGCAGUCUUUGCUAAGUUUUAUUUUAGAGGUAGAAGUAUAACGCUAAUUAAAAAUUUAGUAUUCAAAUCACAUUAAGAGGAAUGUUUGUGUGUAAAGUUUUAUAUGGCAUCUUCCUGCAUGAUACAAAGGAAUCAUAUUUUCAUUAGGUUUCUCUCUUAAGUCAGUGCAGUUAUUGCCCCCACACCCCAUCCUAAAUGAGGCUGACCCAUUUCAGUGUUGACAUAAAAAAAGAACCAUUAGAAAAUAGGAAAUCUGGGAAACUCAGAAUUAGUAUUUAUUAGUCUGCAUUAAUUUGUCUGAAUAGCAACUUGAUGGCGCUGCUCAAUGGCUCCUUGUCAUACAAGGGAGAGAAGGAAGAAUGGUUCCUGGUCACAGAACUGGUAAUGAUUCUAUUUCUUACUUAUUGUUCAUUCUCUCCGUGUUAUUCAUUUAUUUAAAGUUAUUAAACACUUAUCAUGUACCACAUAUUGAUUUAAACACUGGAGAUUCAGAGGCAAACAGAGCAAAAUUUCCAGCUUUGGAAUUUGUGCAUCUGAAGCUUAAGGAAAAGAAUGGAAGUGCUUAUCAUAGGGUUGGCACAUGCUUAAAGAUACAAAAGUUUUUACAAAGUCACCAGUGAAAAUAGAAAAGCCCAACAAGAUCAAGAUUAAUGAUCUAACCAAAUAACUAGUAAAAAAAAAAAUGGCAUGCUUCUGGAGUUAUACUACCCAGAUUCAAAUGUGAGACCCUUUUUAUACAGGUGUUGUGUCUUGAGACAAUUUAUUAAAACAUGUAGCACCUUAAUUUGCUUAUUGGUACAAUGACAAAAAUGACAGUACCUAGAAUUGUGGUGGGGAUUAAAUGAAGUAAUCUAUGUAAAACUCAUUGCAUCUGGCAUGUGGUAAGAUCAAUACAUGUAAACUAUUUUUUAUAUCUCAUAUUAUCUCAUUCAAUAAUAAUUCAUACCAUUUUUAAUAAUAGCAUUCUCUAAUGGACAGAAGCAAGUCUACAAACAUAAUAACUAAAGUAAUGAAUAAUAUCAUAAAAUAACAUAAUAAAAAUUAAAGAGAUUUUUUAGACCAUUUUCAGGAAAUAUAUGAAACAGUAUAUUAUGUUGCUUUGAUGAUAUAAGAUGGAGAGUUAGGGGAUCGUUCUACAUAUAUAAGAUGUUAAUUUUUUAAUGUGGUAAAAUAUACAUAACAUUUACCAUUUCAACCAUUUUUAGGGGUAUGGUUCAGCAGAAGUAAUAAUGUUCACAUUGUUGUGCAUCCAUGACCACUACUCACCUCCAG
rnacentral:lncRNA from 1 species